GACGAACGCUGGCGGCGUGCCUAAUACAUGCAAGUAGAACGCUGAAGGAAGGAGCUUGCUCUUUCCGGAUGAGUUGCGAACGGGUGAGUAACGCGUAGGUAACCUGCCUGGUAGCGGGGGAUAACUAUUGGAAACGAUAGCUAAUACCGCAUAACAGUAGAUAUCGCAUGAUAACUACUUGAAAGGUGCAAUUGCACCACUACCAGAUGGACUUGCGUUGUAUUAGCUAGUUGGUGAGGUAACGGCUCACCAAGGCAACGAUACAUAGCCGACCUGAGAGGGUGAUCGGCCACACUGGGACUGAGACACGGCCCAGACUCCUACGGGAGGCAGCAGUAGGGAAUCUUCGGCAAUGGACGGAAGUCUGACCGAGCAACGCCGCGUGAGUGAAGAAGGUUUUCGGAUCGUAAAGCUCUGUUGUAAGAGAAGAACGAGUGUGAGAGUGGAAAGUUCACACUGUGACGGUAUCUUACCAGAAAGGGACGGCUAACUACGUGCCAGCAGCCGCGGUAAUACGUAGGUCCCGAGCGUUGUCCGGAUUUAUUGGGCGUAAAGCGAGCGCAGGCGGUUAGAUAAGUCUGAAGUUAAAGGCUGUGGCUUAACCAUAGUACGCUUUGGAAACUGUUUAACUUGAGUGCAAGAGGGGAGAGUGGAAUUCCAUGUGUAGCGGUGAAAUGCGUAGAUAUAUGGAGGAACACCGGUGGCGAAAGCGGCUCUCUGGCUUGUAACUGACGCUGAGGCUCGAAAGCGUGGGGAGCAAACAGG
rnacentral:rRNA from 1 species